UAAAAUUUUUGAAAAUUAUUCCUUCUGAAAAUAUCAUCGCGUUCUUGACCUCGAAGCUGACUGCUGAAUGCGAUUAGGAAAGAAGAUUCCUGAAGAUACACCAGACUGAUUCUGGCAAGCCGUCUGUCGUCUAGAUAUGCAGUUGUUCGUCAUGCAUGGUCAGCAAUCUUCCUCGUUCGUCCUUUCGUUUUCCUGACCACGAUGAUGACAAGCAGCUCUCAUGCUCAGGAUUCUGAAAGCUGGAGCAGCUCUGCUUACCUCGACCACUGAACUUACAACUAACUUCCAACCAAGUACAAGGCAAUAUUAUGAUGAAUCAAGCGCGCUUGCCAUCAUGUCAUCAUUGCAAAGUACAUCGACAACAUAGAUUUGGUGCCGACUAUGUAUGAUGUAGAGUGUGCUCUAUGUAUCUAUACUACUGAUUGGCCUACAUUGUACUUAUGUGGGCUGAGAGUAAUCGAUUGUGCUCUAUGGCAGUUUACUUGUAUGUCAUAGAUGUUAACAUUGCACACAGCUUCUGAAAUGCUUUCUGUUGCACUGGCCUACUGCGGCCCACUGCAAAUAGAUUGUAGUGGCAUGGGCCAUGCCAUAAUUAUAGUAGUAUACCGGUACUACACCAACAAUUUCACUGGUGCACUGUACUUACUGGUACGAGUAGAUCUACAUCAUGCACAGCCUUGUCACUGCUUUUCUCAUUUUUUUUAUUAAUUUACUGUACUGUACACAUUUUGGCACAGCUCUUCCACAAAGAGUUACUAGUAUUUUCUUCUGCAUACCUACUGUAUACAGUGACCUGACUGGUAACAUCUAUGGCUGUGAAAUCACAAAUUUCUGGGUUGACAGCCUCGAACCUAUACGAUUUGUUUCUAAGAACGUGCUAUAAGAAAUUUUCUAUUGAAGUAUUCUACUGUAGCUCGCAGGACAUGGAGUGCAAUUACGUAAAGUUUGGAACACCA